CAGACAAUUAUCUUGAAAAGGCUAAUCUAAUACGUGCGAAGGUAAGUGUUGUUACUGGUUUGAUACAGAACACAAUAAUAUGUGUGACCCUAGCUGGCAGUGGUGGAGUUAUUAGAUAGUGACCUUGUAAUGAACCAAAUGUUGAUGUUUUAUUUACAUUUUUAUUUUUUAGCAAAUAAUAAAACAGGAACUGGAUACGGAGUUAACUGACUUGAUUGAUCAACUUCUGGAGGAAACAAAGGAACAGGAGGGAGAGUGUUACGGUGGAGCUGCUGGAGAAGGGACAUCUGGUCUCCCAUCACCAUCUCUCCUCUCUACGGAGCCUCCUGCAGGUCUAGAGACAUCCAUCCCUCCAGCUCCCUCCAAUGAAACACAGCCUGCAGGUCUAGAGACAUCCAUCCCUCCAGCUCCCUCCAGUGAAACACAGCCUGCAGGUCUAGAGACAUCCAUCCCUCCAGCUCCCUCCAGUGAAACACAGCCUGCAGGUCUAGAGACAUCCAUCCCUCCAGCUCCCUCCAGUGAAACACAGCCUGCAGGUCUAGAGACAUCCAUCCCUCCAGCUCCCUCCAGUGAAACACAGCCUGCAGGUCUAGAGACAUCCAUCCCUCCAGCUCCCUCCAGUGAAACACAGCCUGCUGAAGAAACUACCCCACUAAUGUCCAGUGAAUCUCCUGAGUCAACCAGGGACCAACAAGAACACACUUCAAGAACCACUACCCCUGAUGUAACUAUGGAUGGUCAUGAUGAUGACCAGAGUCUGGAUGCCCUCGCCUACCGGUCUGGUUAUGGACAGAUAGACAUUGAGAUGGGUCCAGUCCGAACACUGCCCAAAGAUCGUAACAGGAUUCUUUAAUAUCGCUGUUAGACCCAAGUUUCCCAUCGACCGUGAUUCACUAUUGAAGGGGAAUGACAUUACAGGAGACAGAGUAACGCAGUUCGAGAAAUUCUGUAUCAACAUGAAAGUGAAUCUGAUUGUUCAAACUCAGAAACUAGAGGAGGAAAUACACCAGUCUGAUUCCAUCCUGAUGCCAGCUUUCACAGGAGAAGAGGCGUGGUGUGUUUAACAUCAUUAUUUGAUCAAUCCUCACAUUAUUCUUCUAUAUGUGGCUCACAGAGCAAAGACAAGCGAGGUGUUAAUAAAUAGUGUGAGGUGUGCUCUGUGAGGCGUCCUGGGAUAUGAUGGGUAACGUUGGCUUGGGUCUAAGCUCCACCUCUCUUGGGCGACCACCAAGGAAGACGAUAUUUUCUUUAUGAUAUAUUUUUUUACAACGUUACUAACGUUCCUCAAUAUUUUGCAAACGAUGACACGUACAUAUUUCACCCAUGCAAGUAUCUUGUUGUUUUUCUGCUAAACUUUUAGUAACAUCACUUUUUUGAAGGCUUUUGACCGUAAUCAUUUAGGGAAUCAAAUGUAAAAUAACAGAUGCAAAACCUUUAAUGAAAAUAUCUGCCAAUUUACUGCACCGUAUUUCAAUGAUGAUUUCUUAUUUACAUUUAAUGGAUUUUUUUUUUUUUUAAGUAAUUCCUGUACUUCUUUUUUACUACUUUCCUUGAGUUGUUCAGGAAGCAUUUGGGGUGCUGGGAUUAGCAUUACAUGGCCUUCUUUCAUGUGACAGUCAAACAUUGUUAGUUACAUACUAUUGUUUGUGAUCAAGUGGAGUUAGAGAGGGCUGAUUGUUGGGGUAUACUUUUAUGAGAGCACACUAAUAAAGGGUUGAACAUUG